AGGCUGGGUGGCAGAAUGGUCAUGCAGCGGCCUGCAAAGCCGUGGAAGCCGGUUCGAUUCCGGCCCCAGCCUCCAA
rnacentral:tRNA from 1 species